rnacentral:rRNA from 1 species
UACAGAGGGUGCAAGCGUUAAUCGGAAUUACUGGGCGUAAAGGGUGCGUAGGCGGUAGAUUGGGUGUGAUGUGAAAGCCUCGGGCUUAACCUGAGAAGUGCAUCGCAAACUAAUCAACUGGAGUAUAUGAGAGGGUGGCGGAAUUUCCGGUGUAGCGGUGAAAUGCGUAGAGAUCGGAAGGAACGUCAAUGGCGAAGGCAGCCACCUGGCAUAAUACUGACGCUGAGGCACGAAAGCGUGGGGAGCGAACAGG